rnacentral:lncRNA from 1 species
UGCCAGAAACUUCCCUGGGACGUCUGAGACUUCCAACUGUCUGCAAAUAACACAGUCCUGAACCAGCAGGAGCACGGGCUGGGAACCCAGAUGGGGAAGGGCGGGCCGCGCAGGGAGCCUCCCCGCCAGGCACUCACGCUGACGAUCGUGGAGACGAACAGCAGCACCAGCACCGCGACGUGGAGGACGAUGAUACUCAGCAACAGGAGGAGCAUUCUGGCGGCAAGUUCUGCUCAGCGGAGUUUCUGCCUGCGAGGAGAGCGCUGGGCGUGAGGCCGAACGCACUGGGCCGAGCGACGGAGGCGCGCGCAGAGGGAGGGUCCCGCGCACUAGCGGAAGGCCCGGCCUGGCCCAGCGCCCGCAGCCCGACCGCCCGCGCGGGUCAGGAGCCUUCGCGCCGCCUGCCGCCGAGAGGGGGCAGCAGCCGCCUGCAGGACCAGCGCCCAGUGCCCAGCGCCCAGCCGGGCCCGCCUGCAACGGAACAUCUUUUGCUUUUGGAAACAAAACAAGCGGUUCGCACGUCUAAAACCACCCAGGGAACGGAGGGGUUUCCAGAAAAUAUGAGCAGAGGCCACUGCACGCUUCCACCCACCCCAAGCACCUCCCGGCGACCUCCCUGGAAGGUGAGAGGUCACGUUCUCCGAGACCCCGGUUCAGAUGGUGAAUUCCCCUAUGGGGUGGAGGUAGGGGUGAGGGGAGUAGGUGCCCAGAUUUCCGUCUGAGACCUGGAGACAGCCGUGGCAUGCGGUGGGGGAGACAGCGGCGAGGAGGCUGGUUUCCCAGACCCCAGUGCUCUCCGCAUUCCGUUUGUCUCCAAGUUUCCACCCAACUCUGCCAGCGUAGAGGAACGGUCCUGGCCCCAGCUCAGCCUCGCGCAGACUCUGGCGGCUCCGGAGAGGUGGUGCAGAGCCAGAGUAGUGUGGAAAGAAAAGAAUGGCUCGAGAGGGUUGCCCGGACCCUGCGCUUCCCGUCCACCGCGCGCUUCCCCAGGCAGCCCCUGGGGUCAGGGGGCAUUCUGCUCUUGCGCUAGACCCACGUGCUCGCCUAGGGGUCCAGUCUGCACCCCAGGCACUCAAAGCCAGGACACGAACCCCAACAAGCCUGAGCUCCGGUCUGGGUGCGGUGGGACAGGAGCCCAGGAGCCUGGACCGAAGGGAGUAGAUGUCCAGCGGACGGGAGAGAGAGACAGAGGGUAAAAGGCUGAGUCCGAGAAUUUCAGCCGGUCAGAGCCGGCAGGACAUUUAUCCCAAGUAAUGCGGUCCUCGCCCCUCAUUUUAAACUUUGGGGGAACUGAAGGCUGGGAUGACCUGUUAGAGGACAUGCAUGGCU